GAUGAACGCUGACAGAAUGCUUAACACAUGCAAGUCGAUGGGGAAGUGGUGCUUGCACCAUGGUAACCAUGGCGGACGGGUGAGUAACGCGUAAGGAACUUACCUGCGGGACCGGGAUAACAGCAGGAAACUGCUGACAAGACCGGAUAAGGUCAUUAAGCUGCAUAGCUUAGUGAUGAAAGGAGACGCCUGCGGAGAGCCUUGCGUCCUAUUAGCUAGUUGGAGGGGUAACGGCCCACCAAGGCGAAGAUAGGUAGCCGGCCUGAGAGGGUGGACGGCCACAAGGGGACUGAGCUACGGCGCUUCCUCCUACGGGAGGCAGCAGUGGGGAAUAUUGGACAAUGGGGGCAACCCUGAUCCAGCACUUCUGUGUGCACGAAGACGGUUUUCGGAUUGUAAAGUGCUUUCAGCAGGGAAGAAGGAAGUGACGGUACCUGCAGAAGAAGCGACGGCUAACUACGUG
rnacentral:rRNA from 1 species